rnacentral:rRNA from 1 species
UACGUAGGUGGCAAGCGUUGUCCGGAUUUAUUGGGUGUAAAGGGCGUGUAGGCGGAGAAGCAAGUCAGAUGUGAAAUGCGGGGGCUCAACCCCCGGACUGCAUUUGAAACUGCUAUUCUUGAGUGAUGGAGAGGUAAGCGGAAUUCCCGGUGUAGCGGUAAAAUGCGUAGAUAUCGGGAGGAACACCAGUGGCGAAGGCGGCUUACUGGACAUUAACUGACGCUGAGGCGCGAAAGUGUGGGGAGCAAACAGG